GCGGCCGAUUAGGUAGUUGGUUAGGUAAUGGCUUACCAAGCCGUUGAUCGGUACGGGUUGUGAGAGCAAGAGCCCGGAGAUGGAACCUGAGACAAGGUUCCAGGCCCUACGGGGUGCAGCAGGCGCGAAACCUCCGCAAUGUGAGAAAUCGCGACGGGGGGAUCCCAAGUGCCAUUCUUAACGGGAUGGCUUUUCAUUAGUGUAAAGAGCUUUUGGAAUAAGGGCUGGGCAAGACCGGUGCCAGCCGCCGCGGUAACACCGGCAGCUCUAGUGGUAGCAGUUUUUAUUGGGCCUAAAGCGUCCGUAGCCGGUUUAAUAAGUCUCUGGUGAAAUCCUGUAGCUUAACUGUGGGAAUUGCUGGAGAUACUAUUAGACUUGAGACCGGGAGAGGUUAGAGGUACUCCCAGGGUAGAGGUGAAAUUCUGUAAUCCUGGGAGGACCGCCUGUUGCGAAGGCGUCUAACUGGAACGGUUCUGACGGUGAGGGACGAAAGUUAGGGGCGCGAACCGGAUUAGAUACCCGGGUAGUCCUAACCGUAAACGAUGCGGACUUGGUGUUGGGGUGGCUUUGAGCUGCUCCAGUGCCGAAGGGAAGCUGUUAAGUCCGCCGCCUGGGAAGUACGGUCGCAAGACUGAAACUUAA
rnacentral:rRNA from 1 species